AAGACUAUACUUUCAGCAUGUCUCUGUAGUUGGUUCCUGGAGAAGUUUCUCUGAAGGUGCAGAGCCCCUGAAACCAUGAGGAGGAGGCGCAGCUUCUCUCCCGAGUAUGAAGCUGCCCUUGAUGAUGCUUCUGCAGCUGUCAUUUGCCAUUGACGAUCACUCUUCUCUUCCUUCGGGAGAGUGAGAUGGGAGAAUGCCGUCUGAG